rnacentral:lncRNA from 1 species
UAAGUCUUCCUCGAUAAGCUAUGCGAGUCUUCGUUAGUAAGUUUCGCCAGACUUCCUUGAUAAGCUUUGCGAGUCUUCCUUAGUAAGUUUCGCCAGACUUACUUGAUAAGUUUUGCGAGUCUUCUUGACUAAGCUUUUGACAAUCACUUAAUAUAUUAUUUUAUAACACUCCCCCUUGAUUGUCAAAUGCGAGUUAUCAUAGAGAUUGACUGCCUCGUUAAAACCUUGCAAGGAAAAACCCAAUGGGAUAAAAAAAACCUUGUCGAAGGAAAAAGAGUACAGUCUCCUCCUGAAUUAAAUUACUCACAUUUCGACAUCUUGAUCCAGUAGACUUUUUAAUCUCCAUAUACCCAUAUUACUUCGU